rnacentral:tRNA from 1 species
UGGCUCAGUGGUAGAGCACUUGCCUUGCAAGCCGGAGGCCCUGGGUUCGAUUCCUCAG